rnacentral:rRNA from 1 species
UGGGGGGGCCUUCGGGAGGCAGCAGUAGGGAAUCUUCCGCAAUGGGCGAAAGCCUGACGGAGCAACGCCGCGUGAGUGAUGAAGGUCUUCGGAUCGUAAAACUCUGUUAUCAGGGAAGAACAAACGUGUAAGUAACUGUGCACGUCUUGACGGUACCUGAUCAGAAAGCCACGGCUAACUACGUGCCAGCAGCCGCGGUAAUACGUAGGUGGCAAGCGUUAUCCGGAAUUAUUGGGCGUAAAGCGCGCGUAGGCGGUUUUUUAAGUCUGAUGUGAAAGCCCACGGCUCAACCGUGGAGGGUCAUUGGAAACUGGAAAACUUGAGUGCAGAAGAGGAAAGUGGAAUUCCAUGUGUAGCGGUGAAAUGCGCAGAGAUAUGGAGGAACACCAGUGGCGAAGGCGACUUUCUGGUCUGUAACUGACGCUGAUGUGCGAAAGCGUGGGGAUCAAACAGGAUUAGAUACCCUGGUAGUCCACGCCGUAAACGAUGAGUGCUAAGUGUUAGGGGGUUUCCGCCCCUUAGUGCUGCAGCUAACGCAUAAGCACUCCGCCUCGAC